ACAUGCUUGACGGAGCGCGAGUAAUUACUCGCUGAGAUCAUGUAAUUCCUUUUUUCAGGAAUUGAUCAUGAGUACCGUUGAACCUGAUCAGGUUAAGACCUGCGUAGGAAUCAAGCCAUCUAAAAAC
rnacentral:ncRNA from 2 species